rnacentral:lncRNA from 1 species
GCCGCCUUGGCCGGCCGGAAGCGGCGUCGCUAGCUGCGUAAGGUGUGUUGCGGGAGGGGGCGCUUGGCGGCCACGAUGCGGCGGGACCACGGAGCUCCGAGCGCAGCUCCGCUGCCGGCGGUGGGACCCUGGACCGAUUGUGAGCCAUGCCUUUAGUGAAGAGGAACAUUGAACCCCUGCACUUGUGCCAGGGUGCUCUGCUGGAAGGAAUUACCAGUGAACUUGAAUAUGUAACCAACAGUAAUCUUGCUGCAAUCAUAUGCCAGCUAAGCAGUCUGAUAAAUCUUUGUACUAAGAAGUAUGGCUCUUUCUCUGUUGACCAAGGUGGACAUUUCAUCCCAGGUAUUUGAAAUAGUAGAUGCCAAUCCUGUAUGUUGUCUAAG